CAAUAGCGUAUAUUAAAGUUGUUGCAGUUAAAAAGCUCGUAGUUGGAUUUCUGGUGGGAGCGAUCGGUCUGGCGCUUAGCGCGAGUACUUGCAUCGUCUCCGGCCAUCCUUGGGGAGAGUCUGUCUGGCAUUAGGUUGUCGGGCAGAGGAUCCUCAUCGUUUACUGUGAAAAAAUUAGAGUGUUCAAAGCAGGCUUAUGCCGUUGAAUGUAUUAGCAUGGAAUAAUAAGAUAGGACUUUGGUACUAUUUUGUUGGUUUGCGCACCAAAGUAAUGAUUAAUAGGGACAGUUGGGGGUAUUCGUAUUCCGUUGUCAGAGGUGAAAUUCUUGGAUUUACGGAAGACGAACUACUGCGAAAGCAUUUACCAAGGAUGUUUUCAUUAA
rnacentral:rRNA from 1 species